rnacentral:rRNA from 1 species
CAAACGCUGGCGGCGUGUCUUAAGCAUGCAAGUCGAGCGGCAGGCGCAGCAAUGCGCUGAGAGCGGCGGACUGGUGAGUAACGCGUGGGUAAUCUACCUUUGGCAUGGGGAUAGCCACUAGAAAUAGUGGGUAAUACCGAAUACGUUCCCUGGGGGGAGAUUUCAGGGAAGAAAGGGUGCUACGGCACCGGCCGGAGAUGAGCUCGCGUCCCAUUAGCUAGUUGGUGAGGUAACGGCCCACCAAGGCGAUGAUGGGUAGCCGGCCUGAGAGGGUGUACGGCCACACUGGGACUGAGAUACGGCCCAGACUCCUACGGGAGGCAGCAGCUAAGAAUAUUCCGCAAUGGACGAAAGUCUGACGGAGCGACGCCGCGUGGAUGAUGAAGGCCGAAAGGUUGUAAAGUCCUUUUGCUGGGGAAGAAUAAGUGUGGGAGGGAAUGCCCGCAUGAUGACAUGAACCGCGAAUAAGCCCCGGCCAACUACGUGCCACAGCCGCGGUAACACGUANGGGGCGAGCGUUGUCGGAAUUACUGGNCGUAAAGGGCAUGUANGCCGGCUGGNAAGCCUG